GUGGUUUCAUUUUCCAACGGUCUUCAGAACAAACAAUAUUUGGUAAAUUAGUCAAGGAUUGCUCUUUCACAUUCAGUAAAAUAGCAGGUACAAUUAUAUCCCUCAUCAGUAGAGUAAACAGAAGUACAAUUAUAAGUUUUCUGCUGCAGAUAAUACACCCUAACUUCAAUUAAGAGCUAAAUUAAUUAACCCACGUCGGGGAAUGAUAUGAACAAGAGUAUUAACAUUGAGUACGUUCAAUUACAGUUAAGAAAUGUCCUUCAGACAUUAAACACGAAGAGAAUUCAAGAACAGAGAACAAAAAAGGGGCUUGAGAUAAACGAAAGAUAGAAGAAGGUAAUAUUCAAAGUAUAGUUGA
rnacentral:lncRNA from 1 species